rnacentral:rRNA from 1 species
ACGUAGGUGGCGAGCGUUGUCCGGAAUUACUGGGUGUAAAGGGCGUGUAGGCGGGAUUGCAAGUCAGAUGUGAAAUUCCGAGGCUUAACCUCGGCGCUGCAUCUGAAACUGUGAUUCUUGAGUGUUGGAGAGGAUAGUGGUAUUCCUAGUGUAGCGGUGAAAUGCGUAGAUAUUAGGAGGAACACCAGUGGCGAAGGCGACUAUCUGGACAAUAACUGACGCUGAGGCGCGAAAGCGUGGGGAGCAAACAGGA